rnacentral:lncRNA from 1 species
CAGAAAGCAGCAGCUGCUGCAGAGGGAAGGGAUGAGAUGUUCCUGCCCAGCAGCUGGCUGCAGGGGAGGCUGAUACUGCUGUAAAUUACUCUGCCAGCUAAGCCUCCUGCUGGAGACAUGGCUUAUGUUAACAAAAUUUGUUCUGAGAUGUAGUUGUCACCUCCUGCAGCAUUGCAGAAGCAGAGGCUGAAAUACCUCAGCUGGCAUUGGCACUUCUGCCCUGGCUUUGCUGCAGCUUUACCAGACAGGUUCCCAUGGAUGAUGCUGAAUACUGGAGAAGAGGAGGGAGGAGCUCACUCUUUAUUAGAGAUUCUGCUACCCAGAUAAUAUGCUGCUGUAAACUGUGACCAUGGAAAACACUUCAGAUUUAAAGUGUUGCAAGAACAACUUUAUUUGGAGACCUACAUUCUCAUGAAAAUGUGUACUUCAUCCUGGCUUCAGAAAAAAAAGAAAAUUUUCUUCCAAAUGUCUGUAUUUGGGUUUUGAAUAAAAGUCAUUACUCUCCAUAGUGAGUAUUUUGU